rnacentral:tRNA from 1 species
UCUUAGCUCAGUGGUAGAGCAUCUACUUAGCAUGCGGAAGGUUCUAGAUUCAAUCUCCAGCAUCUCAC